UCUCCAGCAUGGUCUUGACCCCUUUGAGGUCACAUGCUGAGUGCUCAUUGCUCUUCACCCCCAGCCCUUGGGAAGGUCUGAGACUAGGGCCUCCCGCUGCCCUAACUGGGCUCCUCCCACCAGUGGGUUCCCAGACAGGGCAGGAGAGGCCUCAAGUGGGCCGAUGCCUCUGUCACUGGAGCUUGGAACAGACUCCUUCCUUUUUAAAAAAUAGUACAUAAUGAAAGCUAAGAGGCCAACUAAUUUGUCCAAUGAGAAUCAGUGAAGCCGAUUUGCACACAGA
ensembl:ribozyme RNaseP_nuc Nuclear RNase P